AAUUUAGGUGUACACAUAAAAUUGUGAGAACUAAAUAUCAUUCUUUUACAUGUUUACAAACUAUACAAAAAUCUGUACACAUGAAAUAAACAUGAGGCUGAAAGAAAUACUAUACAUUUAACUCUUCAUACAAAAUAAAUAACUAAAACUGAUCCAUCAUUCACAUUAUUUUAGCAACAGAAAGUUAUUUGUUUACUUUAAUAAAUCAAUACCUAAACUAAAGAUCAUUAGAUUACACAGGUAUAACUCUAGUUUAUUUUCAUAAAUAACAAAAUUACUAAAUUUUACUUGGAAAUUAUAACACCAGGCAUAGUCUCUAAAACUUGAAAAUAUCAUGGAUAUUUGUACAACUAUCCAUCAAUAACAAAUUGAGUAGUUCCAGAGUUUUAAAUCCAGGAUUCAGAAAUAUGAUUUGUUAGGAUGGGAGGUCAGGAUUUAAAAUACAAUCUUACAAGGUCAAAAUUCAGAAUCUUUAUUCAACUGUAUAUAUCUGUCAAGAAAUCACGUUUCAUGAAUAUAUUGCUAGGUUUAGUAGUCCUGAUCUCUGGAUAAUAUCAUAUUCUGUAGUCCAAGAAAAAUUAGAUACAUUGUAGCAGAAAUAUAUGAAUUAAUUUAAACCCUGGAAGACAUUCUGUAAUACUGUCUAAAUGUUUACAUGUUAACUAAUUAACCAACAACAUCAACAUUAAAUCCAGCAUAAAACACACUAAAACAUUAUAUAACUUUCUCUUCUAAUACUGUUGAUUCAUUUUUAUUCGUUAGAUACCAUUUUUGUGGGUACAGAUGAACCACGAAUUCUAUUGUUCAACAAAUAACAAAUUUUCUGUAGACAUUAUAUACAGAGAUUGGCUAUACCAGGAUAUCAAAUUUCCAUGAAAACGCCAAGUUUUCCUAAAUCCCCAAAAAUUGAUACCCUCACAAAAUUAAAUGAAUCCACAGUGUUAUAGAUCAAACCAAUUCCAUAGUAAUGUUAUAUGUUAUUUUUAUACCAUAAUUAAUCCAAAUAAUUGGGAAGCUGUAAGACCAAACAAAAUAAAGUCAAAACAUUGAAAGGGCAACAUUAUAUCAAAAGGUUGUGACCUAAGUUUUUUUUGUUUUUAAUAAAGAUUCUAUAUGUAUAAUCUAAUCAACCUGUUAACAGCAUUCAUUUUUCAUAUAUAGUUGUAGAUUCAAUCAGUAUACAUUGAUUUUAAUCUAUUUUUUCUCAAAAAAUAUUCAUAUUGGUUUUCAUUUGGCAUUAAGCAAA
rnacentral:lncRNA from 1 species